UACGGAGGGUGCAAGCGUUGUCCGGAAUCACUGGGUGUAAAGGGUGUGUAGGCGGACUUGUAAGUCAGGGGUGAAAGCCCGCAGCUUAACUGCGGAAUUGCCUUUGAUACUGCAGGUCUUGAGUGUCGGAGGGGCCACUAGAAUUCGCGGUGUAGCGGUGAAAUGCGUAGAUAUCACGAGGAAUACCAGAGGCGUAGGCGGGUGGCUGGACGACAACUGACGCUGAGGCACGAAAGCGUGGGGAGCAAACAGG
rnacentral:misc_RNA from 1 species